GGGCUUGACAUCCCACGAACCUGCCCGAAAGGGUUGGGUGCCCGCAAGGGAGCGUGGAGACAGGUGGUGCAUGGCUGUCGUCAGCUCGUGUCGUGAGAUGUUGGGUUAAGUCCCGCAACGAGCGCGACCCUCACCCCUUGUUGCCACCGGGUAAAGCCGAGCACUCUAGGGGAGCUGCUAGCGUCAAGCUGGAGGAAGGUGGGGAUGACGUCAAGUCAUCAUGCCCCUUACGCCCUGGGCUACACACGUGCUACAAUGGCCGGUACAAAGGGAUGCAAGACCGCGAGGUGGAGCUAACCCCAAAAAACCGGUCUAAGUUCAGAUUGCAGUCUGCAAUUCGACUGCAUGAAGGAGGAAUCGCUAGUAAUCGCGCAUCAGCACGCGCGGUGAAUACGUUCCCGGGCCUUGUACACACCGCCCGUCACACCACGAAAGCCGGCUGUACUCGAAGUCGCUGAG
rnacentral:rRNA from 1 species